ACCGUUCAGGGGUAAACCUGAGAAACCCAAAAGAUCGAAUGGGGAGAUUCAUCGUCAGCUCAUUUUGUAUAUAUAUAAGUUAUGAUAUGGGUUACUACUUGUAGUAUUGCCUGUACAUUCUUGUAUAUUUUAUUGCAUUAUGUUGUCGGCGUGCACUUCUCCCCUAGUAGGACGUCGCGACCCGUUGGGUGUCGGUCUACGGCCCAAGUGGUAGCCUUUAAUUUUUAUUAAUUGAAGACCCUUGGUGUUUCCUGACUGGCUAUUCGG
rnacentral:rRNA from 1 species